AGCUCUGAUGACAAUAGCAUAAGUAGUAAUACUGAUCGGUGCGAUUCACCCAUAAAUCAAGAAACAAAUAGUGAAACAAAUGAUGAUUUUGCUCCGUGAUGGAAUAUUCUGUCGUCAGUCGGUACUUUUGGCAGCUCUAGGAUAUGCUUGUAAAAUGUCACAUAUUGUAAGACGUCUUGUACAAGGGAUAUCCAAAAUUGAGGCUAUUAUGAAUGCAACAGUUACAGGACAGGCACCUCGCGCCACUGCCCGGGAUAAGUCUAUGUAAACUGUUCUAUUAGAUGGCAAGGUCAAAAUGGCCAUAAUAAGUGAGCAUUUUUACUAAUAAUUAUACUUUGUAGAAUAAAUUUAUAGACAAGUAUCAAUUAUAAAAAAUGUCACUACUUUCAAAAUAUUCUCAACGUGUAGCAAAAGUCAAACGUUGGGACAAACAAUCCACAAGGACGCUUCUUCAUGUUAUGAUACAGCGUUUAGUUGA